UACGGAGGGGGCGAGCGUUAUUCGGAAUUAUUGGGCGUAAAGGGCGCGUAGGCGGCUUGAUAAGUCAAAGGUGAAAUCCCUCGGCUCAACUGAGGAACUGCCUUUGAAACUGUCUGGCUUGAGGCCGGGAGGGGGUAGCGGAAUUCCCAGUGUAGCGGUGAAAUGCGUAGAUAUUGGGAGGAACACCGGUGGCGAAGGCGGCUACCUGGACCGGUUCUGACGCUGAUGCGCGAAAGCGCGGGUAGCAAACAGGAUUAGAUACCCCCGUAGUCC
rnacentral:rRNA from 1 species